rnacentral:rRNA from 1 species
UACGGGGGGAGCAAGCGUUGUUCGGAUUUACUGGGCGUAAAGGGCGUGUAGGCGGCCACCGCAAGUCGACUGUGAAAUCUCCGGGCUUAACUCGGAAAGGUCAGCCGAUACUGCGGGGCUAGAGUGCAGAAGGGGCAACUGGAAUUCUCGGUGUAGCGGUGAAAUGCGUAGAUAUCGAGAGGAACACCUGCGGCGAAGGCGGGUUGCUGGGCUGACAUUGACGCUGAAACGCGAAAGCUAGGGGAGCGAACGGG